AUUGAACGCUGGCGGCAGGCCUAACACAUGCAAGUCGAACGCGUGGAGGACGGGUGAGAAAUGGCUGGGAAACUGCCCGAUGGAGGGGGAUAACAACUGGAAACGGUCGGUAAUACCGCAUACCAUCGGAUGUGCGCAGGUGGGAUUGGCGAGUAGGUGGGGUCAUGGCCCACUUAGGCGACGAUCCCUAGCUGGUCUGAGAGGAUGACCAGCCACCCGGGAACUGAGACACGGUCCAGACUCUGACGGGAGGCAGCAGUGGGGAAUAGUGCACAAGGGGCGCAAGCCUGAUGCAGCCAUGCCGCGGGUAUGAAGAAGGCCUGCGGGUUGUAAAGUACUGUCAGCGAGGAGGCGUUACUCGCAGAAGAAGCACCGGCUAACUCCGUGCCAGCAGCCGCGGUAAUAC
rnacentral:rRNA from 1 species